CAAACUUUAAAACAACAGCAACAAAACUAUGGUGAAAAAAAAGGCCACUUAAAACUGGAUCCCUAUGGAGGAUUUCCCCAGCACCCCAGGAGCGCAGGCCGGGAAGAAUCUCCCACAGGUUUAAAUGGGGCAGACGGUUCCGGCAGUCAAGAGAUUAGGUGCAGAUCCCGCUAAACCAGGAGUCAAAGCUUUGGAUCUCUCGGAAGGAAAGAGACGCCUUUUCAGGUGCUGAGGUUGCUGGGGAAAGGCAAAGAGGCCUUGAGAAUGGGUUUAUUGGCUUGCACUCCCAAGAUGGUUCACUUUUCCCUUCAAGAGCACAUUUGCCCCCAGGCAAUGGUAGAAAAUACAAGGAUCACUAUUGAACACAAGGAGAGGCACAGAAUCACUCACUGUUUACAGACCGACAGGAACCAACUUAGAGAUGCUUCUCAGCUUCCUACCACUGUUUACACUGUCUGCAUCAUUUAGCAUCUUGUCAUACAGUGACUGCUUUGCAUGAGGAAUUUUCAUAAUUUGUUUUGGAAUGCGUAUUUCUUUCAGAAAUAAAGUUGAUUUUGCAUGUGAAUUUACAAGAAGUGAACACUAUCUAUAUGUGAUUCAGCUCCCUGGUGAAACCCCUAGGAGGUGCAGGAGACCACAGUAUAAGCUCACUUUUUUUUUUUCAAAUCCAGGGCAGUAGUUUGCUGGAUUCAAUUUAUAAUGCUGACUAUUUGUGAAAGAUAAUAAAUUCAGAGCCCCCAAGCUAGAGAAAAGGACUUUUCUCUCUCUGACUGUUGAACAGAGGCUGGCUCUUUUAUACUAGCUAGCCCCAGCAUUUCUCAUCAACACUUCUCCCACACUGUUUUCACAUACAAACAUAUCAUUAAACAUUUCAGAUUCAAAUAUAUGGUUUUAUGUGAGGUGGGGGAGAUCAAAUAAAGAAAAACAUCAAAGAUUGAAACAUCCAGGAAACCCAAUAAAAAGGAUACCAGGAAGUCUAACCAAGGCAGAGUAGAGAGAACAAGGAAGGUGAAGGGAAAGGAAAACAUUUUCAGCAGUCAUAAAGAGAUGAUAACUCCAGGUUCAGUCUUAAUACUUUUGUUGUGUUUCCUACAAAGUGGAGGCAUAUAGCCUUCUACAUGUAAAGAGGGGUGUCCCCUACUUGUAGCAUGGGAGUGUGUGUCAUUAUGUGGCUCAAAAGGAGGCAAAAAUAGACAUCUCUAGCCUGUUUUUCUCCCACCCUUCUCCAAGGAAGACUUUAAUUCAUUCCAGGAGAGGAAGCAAAAGUUUGGAGUCAGAAGUUUGGCCACUCUGCUCCCCACAGAGGGAGGGUGUACCAGUCUAGAAUUAUAUCUAUCUGCUGCAUUAAAUAUUGUUCAUCCAGGGGAUGUGACUUUAAGGUUCAAUCUGACUUCUGAUCACUGUUUCAUUAUUUGGUGAGACAGGACCCUAAGCUCCAUAUCUCUGACUUGAUUUCCUUCCCACCAAAUACCAUUUUCAUAAUGAACACACAUAGGAGGUAGCCAAGAAACCCCUUUAUCCAAGAUGAUAGCAAAAACAGAAAUCAGAGGAAGUAUACAUAGAAGAAUAUAUAUCAGACGAUACAUAUUGAAGGAACUCUUCCAUUAGAGUGAGGUGACUUGGCUCAACCAAGAGAGAAAAUCCUCUUCUCACCCAAAGAGAAACUCCCUGAAAUCUGUCGAGUAUCAAGCUGGACAUAGGGGACUGCCAGCUACUCUCAUGUUGAUGUCUUCCAAGAGUCUUUUCUUUCAGCUACCUGAAGUGGGUUAGCAUCAUUCAUCUUCUCUUUCAAAGCUGGAAGCCAGAAGAGACUGACCCAAAGCCUGAAGAACUGAAGACAUUCAAAGAGACCUGAAGAUAAGUCCAAAGAAACAGAGGAGAGUAGAUCUCUCUUCUUUUCUGCUCAUCCCCACCCUUAAAAUGUCUCAUUAAUGAAGUAGUGUCUCAAUAAAUAUGUCAAUUUGUUGAUCCA